rnacentral:rRNA from 1 species
UACGGAGGGUGCGAGCGUUGUUCGGAAUUACUGGGCGUAAAGCGCGUGUAGGCGGCACUACAAGUCGGGUGUGAAAGCCCAUGGCUCAACCAUGGAACUGCGCUCGAAACUGUAGAGCUAGAAUACGGGAGGGGGAUGCGGAAUUCUUGGUGUAGAGGUGAAAUUCGUAGAUAUCAAGGGGAACAUCCGUAGCGAAGGCGGCAUCCUGGACCGAUAUUGACGCUGAGACGCGAAAGCGUGGGUAGCGAACAGG